rnacentral:lncRNA from 1 species
CCGACCUGUCUUGUCUUGUCUCGUCAUGUUCGAAAUUGCAGUGACCAACACCGUUAAAUAUGCAGCCAACAAGUUGAAUAAGUUUCAACCAAGUUUUAGUACAUUACACCUCCCAUUAUAGACUAGAUUCUAUAGUAUACGACCUUACAUCUCCGCAGCAAAUGAUUUACCACAGCCACAGGUUUGUGUAGCAUUUGGGUUCUUGAAAUUAAAGCCUCCCCCAAUCAGUGCAUCACUGUAAUCCAGUUGCAUACCAUAAAGGAAGAGAAGGCUUUUUGGAUCACAAACUGCAUGGUCAGAACAAAAGAAAAAGAUCAGCAGCAAAAUAGAAAAGACAAAAAGAGCAGCAGGGCAAAGAAAUAGCAUCUAAAGGUGAAAUUUCAUAUUGGUCAUCGAAUUUCACUGAACUUAAACUUGAUUAGAAUUUGAUCGACCAAUCUAUGUUUGUUAGUCAAAAAAGACGUGGCAGUUUUAGUUAUUUGCCAACUAGGCUGCCAACUAGGCUGCCGGUCAGCUUUUUCUUAGUCAAACUAAUAGACAUAGGCAAGAUCGCCAAAUUGUAUCAAACAUUAAGUCCGGUCUGAUUGUAAAAAAGUUCAAGUUCAGCUACCAACUUGGAACAAAAUAAAGUUAAUGACGAACAUGAAAAUUUGCUAAAAGUUCAGUGCUCAGUGUAUAGUUUUAUACCUGUUGUGUGUAUUAGCUUUGCUGAUAAUGGAAAAACUUCAAUGAAGGCAUCUUGUGAUAUAGCAUAACAUGGAACGAACAAAAGAAAUUUCAAAGAAGUAUUUAUUAUGUCUUUAACUUCCAAAUACUAACUUCCUCAACAAGUAUACAGCACAUAGAAAUUUCAAGUAGGGACUCAAAUUCAAGGUUUUGAUUGCACCAUCGUUAUCAAAAAUAGUAAUGCUAGAGAAAAGAAAAAAAGAAUGAACUCUUUUACCAUAGCCAUUCUUCAUAAACGAUGAAGUAACAAUUGCACAAUAUGCAAUACUCUUCAUGCUGUUAGUAAUCUGAUGCUCAAAUGCUAUAUUUAUGUAUAGAUCUUAUCAAUCAAAAUGUAUCCUUUCAUUUGUUCUACAUGUUAAUGCCCAAUUCAAACAACUUUUGCUUCAAGAAAUUUGGAUUAGUUCAUUAAGAAGAUGGACUUGUUUCAAGCCCACAUUGUGAGUCAGAUGCUAUCCCCCAUUCCAAUAUCUGAUAAAUCAAACCUUUUAUACUACAAAUUAUAGAAGGCCAAUUUCUAGAGAAAACAAUAUCAGGUUCAGGUUUGCAUUUUAAAGGUAUUAUCCUCACUAAUCACCAAAUGCAGGAUAUUAGGGAAAGGAAAGGAUAGCUCAUUUUCCAUGAUUAAACAUAAUAUCCUGUCACUGUACUGUAGGGCCAUAAGGAAAGAAUUCGUAUUUAUUUUUUUCAUCGACUGGAUGCCAUUGUUUACUGCCCAACUAACACCGACAGCAGGUUCCACUCAAGUACAGACAAGUGCAACAGGACAGAAGAAUUCAAUUUCAAAUUCCUCAUAUGGAAUUAAAUGAACUUGCAGUCAUACCUAUAACAAAUCCAUUGUAUUUGAUAAUAGAAUCAUCGGGUCUAGCGUUUUCUCUGUUCUCAAAAUCCAUAGUAUAAGACAUGCCAGAGCAUCCUCCUUGUUUGACACCAAUUCUUAGACAUAAAUCUUCACUUCUUUCAGUCCUCAACUUAUUGAAGUGCUUCAAUGCAUUGUCGGUCAAUGAAAUUGCAGGUGCAAGUGCUCCAGAUGUAGGUGGUGCUAGAACACAAAAGCAGGUUAUUAAGAAACUCAAAAACAACAGAGAAAGGCAGAAUUCCAGCACAUUAGCAUACAGGUAACCAUAAGUUCGUCCAUGCAGAACUGAUAACAUGUAAACUAUGCAUAAACAAAUGGCUUAAAU